rnacentral:lncRNA from 1 species
ACAUCACAAAAUUCAAAGAUAGACCAAACACAUACAAAUCUUAUAUACUAAUUUAUAUCUAAACAGUCCGACAUUUUAAAAAGUUAAAAAAUUCAGUAAUAUAUAAGUAUCAUAUACAAAUAAAAAUAUAAAUAUAAAUUUUGCAUAUAACACGCUUAAAACUGUUAGAAUAAGAGAAAUAAAUAUAAUGAUAAUAAAAUAAAAAUAUGGCAUAUCAAAAGAUGAAUAAAAUUCCGGCGAAUAGUACAUAGAAUAUAAUACAUAUACAAGCUUACAAAAAUAUAAGAUAUACAGAAGUCCAUAUACGGGCCAUUUCGGGGAUGUGCCAAUUAAUAUUAGACAUAUCAGUACUUAAAAUAGUACUUAAAAUUGGCACUCCCUUCAUCAGGAUGUCCUAUACAACACAUAUAAAACAUGAACAAAUACACAAAUACACAAUCACAUACCGGCCAUUCUCAGAAAAUGGCAUUAAGGGUGAAAGGUUUACCAAAGCUAUUUUUUAAGUUAUUGAAGGAAAAUUUCCCAAAACACCAUAAGUACUAUUCAAUAUGUAACAAGUCAACAAUCAAGCUGGCCUACUCAGUCACUCCCAAUGUCGGAUCUAGUAUUGCUUCGUUGAACAGAAGUAAAAUAAGGCGCUAUAAUGAUAGAAAUGAUGACAGAAGCGUUAAGGGAAAAUUCAUAAACGACAUAGAAGAUGGUAUUAAUAUUAAUAGUACGUCUUCUGAAAUCGAUUGUGAAGGAGUGACAAAUAAUGCAAAUAGUAGAGAUAAUCAUAAUAAUGAUGUCGGUGAUGAUAUUAGUGAUUAUAAUGAUUAUCAGGGUGGUAAUGAUGGUGUUAAUAGUAGUGGUGAUGGUAAUAAAAAUAUUAGUAAAAAUAAAAAUAAUAAUGAUGGUAAUAGUAAGAAUAAUAAUAGAAUAAUUAUACCAGAAAAUAGUACGAAUGAUGGUGUAAAUGAUAUGGUGGAUCGUAGUACUGGGGGGGGGGGCAUGGUUUUGGAGUGAUCAAUAAUACAGGACCCCGUAGCAGGUUGAAGAAAUGUAAUUGUAGGGACCCAUCAGAACGUCCGAUUAGCGGAAAUUGUCGCCAGGAAAAUGUAGUUUAUAAAUGUAGUGUUGAGGCUCAAGGAGGCCAGAGAAAAAUAUAUUUUGGAAGCACAGUAGACUUUAAGCAGAGGUAUCGAUCCCACCUGAGCUCUUUCAACAAUCCUAAAUAUAGGACCUCUACAACAUUGGCAUUACAUGUUAAUGACCUUAAGGAAAGGAAUGUUGAAUUUAAAAUAUUAUGGGCUAUCCUUGCGCAUGCCUCCCUUUAUAGAAUUGGGUCCACUAGAUGCGGUUUAUGCAUAAGGGAGGCAUAUGCUAUAUUGAAAAAUUACAACAACGCAGUGUUAAAUAAGUUCACUGAUGCAAUACCGGCAUGUAUGCAUAAGAUCCACUCGACGUUCCAUAGGAAAUUUAGAAAUAGAAAUAGCAAUAAGAGUUAGAGCUAAGCAAUAACAAUUGAGUUAAGUUUAGUAAGUAUAGUGAGUGGUAAACAAGAUAUAACUAAAGUAAUGUAAUUAAUAAAAAAAUAGCUAGGAAAUUUAGAAAUAGAAAUAGCAAUAAAAGGUAGAGCUAAGCAAUAAUAAUUGAACUAAGUUUAGUAAGUAUAGUGAGUUGUAAACGAGAUAAAACUAUAGUAAUGUAAUUAUUUAAAAAAUAGCUGUUAGUCAAGGACUCAAACCUGAAUAUGUGGCUUUGCAUAUAUGGGAGAAUUUAUAAAAUUGAAAUAAGAUAAAAUAAAUUAAGUGUUGAAGUGAAAUGGUCCAAGUGGCGCUGUGUGGCAGGAUCGAAUUGUAUGCGUAUAAAGUUCCUUUCAGGAUCGCUGAAAAAAUUUCUGGGAGUACGUAAAUGCCGUGUUCUGAGAAUGGCCAGUAUGUGAUUGUGUAUUUGUUCAUGUUUUAUAUGUGUUGUAUAGGACAUCCUGAUGAGGGGAGUGCCAAUUUUAAGUACUAUUUUAAGUACUGAUAUGUCUAUUAAUUGGCACAUCCUCAAAACAGCCCGUAGAUGGACUUCUAUAUUUUUGUAAGCUUGUAAAUGUAUUAUAUUCUAUGUACUAUUCGCUGGAAUUUUAUUUGUCUUUUGAUAUGCCAUAUUUUUAUUUUAUUAUCAUUAUAUUUAUUUCUCUUAUUCUAACAGUUUUAAGCGUGUUAUAUGCAAAAUUUAUAUUUAUAUUUAUAUUUUUAUUUGUAUAUGAUUUUUAUUUGUAUAUGAUACUUAUAUAUUCCUGAAUUAAAAAAUUUUUUUAAAUGUCAGACUGUUUAGAUAUAAAUUAGUAUAUAAGAUUUGUAUGUGUUUGGUCUAUCUUUGAAUUUUGUGAUGUUCCUGUGGUUGUUGCUUGCAUUGCCUCCCCUUGGAUAAAAAAGUGCAUACAGCUCAUUGGAGCACUUCUAUUUCCAGUCCGUUGUAUAUCUUGAGCGUUGUUGUCACUCAAGAUAUAACUUUAUAUUUUAUAUAUAUAUCUAUUUAUUUAUUUAUUUAUAUACGGUGUUUGGGCUAAAUUUAAUGACUUUUGUUUCCUUUUUUUCAGGGAAAGCUUGAUAUAUUGAUGAACAGCCAGCAGCAUUGGAUAGCAUAAAGAUUAAAGUUGUAGUUGAAAAAAGAGUUAGCUGACAUGGAGGAAUGCAAGCCAUUAGAAUUUUGGAAAAGAGUUCCCUGUAUCAUGAUGAUUCAUACUAGGUGUCAAAAUGCCAACAUCAUGUUCUGAAUAAAUCCACAUGCUGAAUGAAGUUCAUCGAACUGAAAGACAAGCUGAUGGAAGAUCUAAGUAAGGGAAAUGUGGACUCUGGUGAGAGAGACAGGUGUUGGAAAUGAAGCUGACCAUGAGGGAGGACCUUUGCUACCACUCGUAGAAGAGACACAAGGGACAAAUUCUGACAGCCAGGGCCUUUGACAAAGGUAAAUAAGCUCCUGAACAAGUUGAGGCAUCAUGUUAAGUAUUUCUGCCAGGACCAGUUGCCCAACAUCCAGAAAAACUUUCCUACAAUCCAUGUCCCACGUUAUGAAAACCAAGUUCCUCCAAACUGUGAAGGUCUUUGGGUGUGUUUCCAGUGAGGACGACAUCAUGCUGCCCCACAUCUUUAAACAGGGUUUUAGGCUCAGUUCAGAUGGCCAAGUGAAGCUGCUGGAGACUGUAGUCAAACCCUAGUUAGAGAGGGUUGCUGCUGGAAGGCCAUGUGUGUAAUAGCAGGAUUUGUCUCCUUGCUAUACUCCAGAAAACGUCAGAAGAAUUUGUCAGAGGAUUUCUAUGAUUUCAUCAGCCCCAAUUUCUGGCCUCCUAAUCCCUUGAUUGUAACCCCAUGGAUUACUACAUGUGGGGUACAGUUGAGAACGACACAAACCAAUCUACCUGAAACAUCAAGGCUGAGCUGGUGGCCUAGAUCUAGGAGGUGUUUGAAGAUCUUCCCAGAGACAGAGUGAGGAACGUAUGUACCAGGUUUCAGGCCCCUCAUGAGGCCAUGGUGGAAGCUGGGGGCAGCUACUUUAAGCAAACUGUCAUGUUUCAGUCAUAAAUAUUUAUAUUUUAGGAUGGGAUAUUGUAUUUUCUUUUUCCUUUUAUGUAAACUGUCAAAUUUGGACUAAUUAUUCUAUGUGUGUGUGUGUGUGUGUGUGUGUGAAUGUGAGCAUGCAUGCGCGCACACACUUACGCACACACAGGCAUGGCC